GUUCCAGGUAAAUCCGGUUCACUUUAACACUGAGGCGUGAUGACGAGGCACUACGGUGCUGAAGCAACAAAUGCCCUGCUUCCAGGAAAAGCCUCUAAGCAUCAGGUAACAUCAAAUCGUACCCCAAACCGACACAGGUGGUCAGGUAGAGAAUACCAAGGCGCUUGAGAGAACUCGGGUGAAGGAACUAGGCAAAAUGGUGCCGUAACUUCGGGAGAAGGCACGCUGACAUGUAGGUGAAGUGAUUUACUCAUGGAGCUGAAGUCAGUCGAAGAUACCAGCUGGCUGCAACUGUUUAUUAAAAACACAGCACUGUGCAAACACGAAAGUGGACGUAUACGGUGUGACGCCUGCCCGGUGCCGGAAGGUUAAUUGAUGGGGUCAGCGCAAGCGAAGCUCCUGAUCGAAGCCCCGGUAAACGGCGGCCGUAACUAUAACGGUCCUAAGGUAGCGAAAUUCCUUGUCGGGUAAGUUCCGACCUGCACGAAUGGCGUAAUGAUGGCCAGGCUGUCUCCACCCGAGACUCAGUGAAAUUGAACUCGCUGUGAAGAUGCAGUGUACCCGCGGCAAGACGGAAAGACCCCGUGAACCUUUACUAUAGCUUGACACUGAACAUUGAGCCUUGAUGUGUAGGAUAGGUGGGAGGCUUUGAAGCGUGGACGCCAGUCUGCGUGGAGCCGACCUUGAAAUACCACCCUUUAAUGUUUGAUGUUCUAACGUGGAUCCGUAAUCCGGGUUGCGGACAGUGUCUGGUGGGUAGUUUGACUGGGGCGGUCUCCUCCUAAAGAGUAACGGAGGAGCACGAAGGUUGGCUAAUCCUGGUCGGACAUCAGGAGGUUAGUGCAAUGGCAUAAGCCAGCUUGACUGCGAGCGUGACGGCGCGAGCAGGUGCGAAAGCAGGUCAUAGUGAUCCGGUGGUUCUGAAUGGAAGGGCCAUCGCUCAACGGAUAAAAGGUACUCCGGGGAUAACAGGCUGAUACCGCCCAAGAGUUCAUAUCGACGGCGGUGUUUGGCACCUCGAUGUCGGCUCAUCACAUCCUGGGGCUGAAGUAGGUCCCAAGGGUAUGGCUGUUCGCCAUUUAAAGUGGUACGCGAGCUGGGUUUAGAACGUCGUGAGACAGUUCGGUCCCUAUCUGCCGUGGGCGCUGGAGAACUGAGGGGGGCUGCUCCUAGUACGAGAGGACCGGAGUGGACGCAUCACUGGUGUUCGGGUUGUCAUGCCAAUGGCACUGCCCGGUAGCUAAAUGCGGAAGAGAUAAGUGCUGAAAGCAUCUAAGCACGAAACUUGCCCCGA
rnacentral:rRNA from 1 species